rnacentral:rRNA from 1 species
GACGAACCGUACGAACGUUAUUCGGAAUCACUGGGCUUAAAGGGUGCGUAGGCGGCGCGACAAGUUGGGUGUGAAAUCCCUCGGCUCAACCGAGGAACUGCGCCCAAAACUGUCGUGCUCGAGGGAGACAGAGGUGAGCGGAACUUAGGGUGGAGCGGUGAAAUGCGUUGAUAUCCUAAGGAACACCGGUGGCGAAAGCGGCUCACUGGGUCUCUUCUGACGCUGAGGCCCGAAAGCUAGGGUAGCGAACGGG